AGGUAUAAUAUUAGAGUAACCAUUAAAAUACACAAUACACUCAAAUGCUACUGCAAUUAAAUAAUUCAGUACAGAUUUUUUUUCUUGUAAUAAUAUUACUAGAGCCUUCAUCUACAACUCAUUUAUUUUAAAAAACUGGUUUUACAAAAUUCAAGUUAGGUAUUCUAUAAAUAUGUUUUGAAACUGCAUUUUUGUGUUGGAAAUAUUUCCCUAGUUAUGAUAAAUUAUAAAUUUUCUUCUAUUUGUUGAAGUUCAUAAAAAUCAUUAACCAAAUUAUUUUCUUAUACUAAAAUUGGUGA